GAAAAACAUAGUAUAAUUUUAAUACAUUUCAUUUACACUGAAAAUAUACUUAAAUAAUGAGUUGUUUUUAAAUUAAAU
rnacentral:tRNA from 1 species